CCUACGGGAGGCAGCAGUGAGGAAUAUUGGUCAAUGGGCUUACGCCUGAACCAGCCAAGUCGCGUGAGGGAAGACUGCCCUAUGGGUUGUAAACCUCUUUUGUUAGGGAGCAAUAGGCGCUACGUGUACCGCUAUCGAGAGUACCUGUAGAAAAAGCAUCGGCUAACUUCGUGCCAGCAGCCGCGGUUAUACGGAGGAUGCGAGCGUUAGACGGAUUUAUUGGGUUUAAAGGGUGCGUAGGCGGAUCGUUAAGUCAGUGGUUAAAUUGCGGGGCUCAACCCCUUCCCGCCAUUGAAACUGGUGCUCUUGAGUGGAAGAGGGGUAUGCGGAAUGCGUGGUGUAGCGGUGAAAUGCAUAGAUAUCACGCAGAACCCCGAUUGCGAAGGCAACAUGCCGGCUUCCGACUGACGCUGAAGCACGAAAGCGUGGGGAUCGAACAGGAUUAGAUACCCCAGUAGUC
rnacentral:rRNA from 1 species